AUGGCUCAGACUUUUGUAUUUUCUUCCUUCCUUCCUUCCUUCCUUCCUUCCUUCCUUCCUUCCUUCCUUCCUUCCUUCCUUCCUUCCUUCCUUCCUUCCUUCCUUCCUUCCUUCCUUCCUUCCUUCCUUCCUUCCUUCCUUCCUUCCUUUCUUUUUCUUUCUUUCUUUCUUUCUUUCUUUCUUUCUUUCUUUCUUUCUUUCUUUCUUUCCUUUCUUUCUUUCUUUCCUUCUUUCCUUCCUUCUUUCUUUCUUUCCUUCUUUCCUUCUUUCUUGCUUACUUGCUUGCUUUCUUAUCUUUACUUUCCAUCUUAGAACCAAUACUACUCAAGCAGAAGAGCAGUAAGGGUUAGGCAAUGGGAGUUGUGUUACCCAGGGCCACACAGCUUGAGAAUGUCUGAUGUCAAAUUUGAACUCAGUCCCUGCCCCCUGCUCCCAGACAUCUAAUUGCCCCUCUUAAGCAUUCUCGAUUACAGAAAUCAUAGGAACACAAUAUUUGAGAGUUCGAGAAGAUCUCAGUGGCCAUUUAGACCAUCCCAUACAUGAAACAGGAAACCUACCAUAAACCAUAACAUAACAGAUGGAUGAUUAUCCAAUCUUUGCUUGAAGUCCUCAGAAGGGGAACCCACCACUUUUUUAACCCUCAUCUUCCAUCUUAUUUAAAAAAAACAAAACCCAAAACUCUUACCUUCUGUCUUAGAAUCAAUACUGUGUAUUGGUUCCAAGGCAGAAGAGCUAGGCAAUGGGGGUUAAGUGACUUGUCCAGGGUCACACCUCUAGGAAGUAUGUGGUCAUAUUUGAACCCAAGACCUCCUGUCUCUGGGCCUGGCUCUCAAUCUACUGAGUAAACUAGUUGCCUCUGAACCCACUACUGCUUGAGACAAACCAUUCCACCCUUGGACAGCUCUAAUUGUUAGGAAGCUUCUCUAACUUGUUCUUUUUGUAAUGCACAACUAUUAAAAACUUAAAUUGGCCUUUUUAUAAGAAGUUCUUUUCAAGAACCUCUGGUUCUGCCCUCUGGAAGCAAAUAUGAAAAGACCAAUUUCUCCUUUCAAUUAUCUAAGGACAGUUAUCCAUUUCCUACUGAGACUCUUCUCCAUACUAAACAUGCUCAGUUUCUUCAACCUGUCCUCAUAUCCUGGUUGCCUUCCUCUAGAUACUAUCAAUAUUCUUAAACUAUAGCGCCCAGAACUGGACAAAAUGUUCCAGAUAAGGACUAACAAGGGCAGCAUAUACAGUGAUAUUAUCACUUCCUAUUCCUUCAAACUAUGUUCCUCUUAAUGCAGACCAAGAAUAGUCGUUGAAACCCUCAAGA
rnacentral:lncRNA from 1 species